GAUGAACGCUGGCGGCGUGCCUAAUACAUGCAAGUCGAGCGAACGGACGAGAAGCUUGCUUCUCUGAUGUUAGCGGCGGACGGGUGAGUAACACGUGGAUAACCUACCUAUAAGACUGGGAUAACUUCGGGAAACCGGAGCUAAUACCGGAUAAUAUUUUGAACCGCAUGGUUCAAAAGUGAAAGACGGUCUUGCUGUCACUUAUAGAUGGAUCCGCGCUGCAUUAGCUAGUUGGUAAGGUAACGGCUUACCAAGGCAACGAUGCAUAGCCGACCUGAGAGGGUGAUCGGCCACACUGGAACUGAGACACGGUCCAGACUACUACGGGAGGCAGCAGUAGGGAAUCUUCCGCAAUGGGCGAAACCCUGACGGAGCAACGCCGCGUGAGUGAUGAAGGUCUUCGGAUCGUAAAACUCUGUUAUUAGGGAAGAACAUAUGUGUAAGUAACUGUGCACAUCUUGACGGUACCUAAUCAGAAAGCCACGGCUAACUACGUG
rnacentral:rRNA from 1 species